UUCCCACCACCCGCCCCCCCCUUUGUCCAGCUGGGACACGGAGUGGCCAUGGGCCUCCUCCCCCACCCCUCCAGUCCCCCCACUGGCCCCUCCAGUCACCCCUCAUCGCCGUGUCCCCCUCAGAGCUAGAGAGACGGGGCCCCUGUGCGGCCAAGGGGCAGAGCUGGGCGUCACCUCCCGAGCGUCCUGCCCUCCCCUGCCAGCGCCCCCCACGCCUCCGCUGCCAGUGCCUUACAUUCUGGAGCGACCUCCCUCCCCGGUGCCUCCCAGCCCAGGGGGCCCGUUUGCACUUUCAUCGUCCGCCCCCCGCAGGGGGCUCAGCUGGGAGGAUGCGACUCCCGGCUGGGUCCCCGAGGUGAGAGGAGGCCGGCGCCAGUGGGUCCUCGCUCGGGAUGGGGAGGGCUUUGGGCGGGGCUUCGGCGUCGCACCUCGGGGCCCCCCGCGGCCGUGUAGGGGGCCUUCCAUCUGCUAAGCGUUUUCCGUUGAGCCGCUCCAAAAACACUAAGCUGGGGACGCCAGGUUCCCCCACCCCACCCCCCGGCCCCACCCACACCUCCACCUCCACCCCGGGAUCGCCAUCUUUAGGGGAGGCCUGGGAGGGGGGGUUAGGUGUUUUAGGGCCACCGAGCUCAAACACAAGGACCCCUCUCCCAGCCCACCCCCAACUGACCUCCAUGCCUAGGGAGAAACCCCCCCACCACAGCCCCCACCCAGGGCCAAAGCCAGGGCAGGGUCUCCGGGUCUCACCUGCUCCCAGCCUCACCCCGACCCCCACCACCUGUCCCGAAAACCAGACUCUCCUCCCAAACCAGCCCCAGGGGCUUGGCGAACACACUCGCUCCCAAAGAGAAAGACCCAGGACCCUUCCCUGUCACCCCGAGAGAGGUUCUCCAUCCUCUGGCCUCAAUCCCUUGGUCCGUCCGUCUGUCCUCAGGGCCCUGGCCCCCCUCCACCGGUGGCCCUUGGGGACCAAAGCGUGAGCCGCUCUCCAGGAGGGCGGGUGUGGGCGGGGGGUAGGGUCGUGCUGUUGGAGUAUCUGGAAGCUUCUCAGCCAGGGUGGGGGUCGUGGGGUGCAAGUGGGGGCCAGCCGGGCUCCCAAGGGGUCAGGGCGCAUCGAGAACCAACUCUUUACCUAACUUUGCAUGGUGCUUAGUCAAGGACUCCUGUGUCCUGGCCCCUGAGGUCAGCUGGCGGCGCUGACACAUGCAUGGCAGACGAUACCUGGCUCUAUCUCCCUCCCCCUCGCCCCCCUCCACUCCCAACUCCCUCUUAAAAAAAAAAAAAAAAAGAUACAAAAAAAAAAACCUUAAAAAAAAUUCCAUGUUUCCUAAUUUGCACGAAAUUUUCUACCACAAAAUGUGCCUUGCCUUCCGAGAGUAUUACCUUUAAACAAUAUCAGCGCACACACAUAGCUGCAUGUUCUGCUCGUGUAGUUAAAAAAAAAGACAAAACAGUGACAUGAAAUAAAAAAAUAAAAAUUGAAAAGGGAUGUAUUUCUAUUUGUAAAAAAAUAAUAAUAAUAAAAAUAAAAAAUAAGAAAGUGAGAAUCUUUAAAAAAAAAAAAAGGAAGAAACACCCGGUCCCCUGGCUCCCCUCUGUCCUGUCUCCCCUCCCGCUGUACUCAGGGGCGCCCCCUGGUGCUCAGCCUCUACCACCCCCGGCCCUGCUCUCGGUGCCCAGAGGACAGACCUCCGGGGCUCAUCCUGGUCCCCGGGAAGGUCUCUCCUCUCCGAUUGGUCCUGGGCCAUGGGCUGGCCCCCAGACACCAUUCACUGACCCACUGCAGGCCAUUCCCCCGCAACUGUAGGGCGGCCAGACUCCCCCUCCCCACCUUGCAUGCUGGCGUCCCCCCAGCUCAGGGUCAAAUGCUGUCCUGCUCCCACCUCAGAGGCACCCCCUCUCCCCCGCCCCGUGCACCCCCCCCUUCUUGCCAAAGGACCUGCUUCUCCCCUAUCCGGAGACCACCCUCUUCUUUGUCCCCUUUGCCCUGUCUUCCGUCUUCCAGCUGUGAAUAGGAACGAAACAAAAAAACAAAACCUGAUAUAUGCAAUAUCUGUGUGUCUAUACCCUUGGCCUGGCUCAGCCACCCGAGGCCCCGCCGAGGGUCCGGCAGGGCACAGGGACAGCCAGGCGGCACCGAGUCGCGGGCCGUGGUCUGGUGGCUGACCAUGCUGUUGUCUUGAUUCUUUCUCUUGUUCUUUCUCUUUCUUUCGAACUCCAGCUUCCUUUGCUUUUUUCUUGACCAAAGCUAAGACAAUAGCCAGAUGGUUAGUGGGGCAGCCAGGCAGGGAGGACCCGGGGUGCGAUGCCCCAGCGUUAGGCGGUUCCUGCAGUGCUUGACACCCCCGGGCAUCUCAUGCAGGGACCCACACAGAUGGUCCCCUCCAUUCACCAUUGCCCGCCGUCAGGGUGCCGGGUGGUCUCCACAGCCACCAUCAUACACUCACCCCAUGUUUUCUUCCAAAAAGACACCUCAGCAGUCUCCCCAGGUGACACAGGGAGAGCCCAAGCCCCCACAGCUGGCCACGGCAUUACCGUUAAGAACUGUCCCUCAGCCAGAGAGCCCAGGCUGGCUGUGUGCACCAUCCACGUCGCUGAUGUCCAGCUUUUUUCUUCCCCUCCUGAGCAAAUCGUCUUGCCCGGGACCUGGGAACAACCAGCAGCAAAGGGAAUGGGUGGCACCAUCGCUGCUGGGACCAUCACGUCCCUGCACAGCCCACACCCGGGGCCCAGGGCCCCUGCAGAAGGAAGGCCGGGCGCCGCCCUCCUCACCCCAAGCUUGCAUCCUGGGCUCACUGAGCACCUUUGCUGAGCACAGCAGGGAAACCCAUGCUGGGCGGCACAUUGUGGAUAGCUUCGUUUCUCCCCCCCCCCCCCAUUUCUUGGAAAAGCUACAGGAUCGCCAUAGGGUACAAUUCCUGGGCACCUAGCUGCAGACAGACAAAAACACCAGGAACCAGGAUUCCAUGCCCACCUCUGCAGUUCACAGAAGGGGUGCCUCAUCCCUGGGUGGAGGGCAAGGUGUGGGUUUUGGUGGUGAGUUUUUUUUUUGGUUUUUGUUUUUUUUUACAUGUAUGAAACUGACAUCUUGAACCUGUCCCACCCCCUCCCGAAGCCCCCAUCACCCACCCCUGUGGUGGGCACCACACUCAUGCCAAGCACCCUGGUCUCAUUCUGGGGUCUUAUAGGGAGGCUUCCCAAAUAUAUGCAAAUCGUCUCCAUCCUUUCUCUGGGUGGAGACACUUGACACCAACCGGGGUGGAGAUGGGGCGUGGGGGAGUAGGAAGACCCAGCCCUACUUGACUGCGGGAGGGGGGAUCCGGAGUCCGUCACCUCCAGGUCUGGAGCCCAGGUUCUGACCCCAGAACCCCACCCUGGACUAGACAAUCAGAUCCCAAAGGACGCCAAAGGGAACUCGAUUGGGAGAGCUGCUUAGAAGCCAGACCUGGACCCCCCGCAGCUCCCCAGGCAGCAGACAAUUCCAGCUUCCCUGCCCCAGGACCUUGUGUCCGUCCCCAGCGACAGCAGCGUCCCAGGCACGGACAGACUGGGCUGUAUGUACCCCACUGUCCCUUGCAAGACAGGUCUUGGAGCCAGGAGCAACUGUCCAGCCCUCCAGAAGAGACAGCAAGCAGGCCUCUCCCACCCUGGCCUCCCCAGUGGUUCUUUGACCUCCAGUGUAGGGCUGUACUAGACAGAUAUAUAUAUAUAUAUGUAAUUUUGGAAUUUGUCAUAAUACAAAAAUAUACAGUGGCCCCCUUUUAUCUUGGCCUGGAUUCUCUCUCUGAGACCCCAGACUUCGCUUGCUUUUUGGAGGGCGCUGGGACAUACAUCUCUCAACCCAGCUUCCUCCGCAUCCUCCCGUCUUUCCCCGUUUCUGCCCCAUUGGACACCUCCUGAGUGUCUCACCUCCAGACCUAUACCACUGCCCAUCCGUCGCUCAGUGGUUCAGUGCCUGGGAUCAGUCCACCACCCUCGGCCUCCCCCCAGGGCAAGGUGAGGAGGCGGACCCAAAGCAACGCCAGCAGGACCUGUCGCCAGUGAUACCAAAACAGACUUCCCAAGCAGUGCCUCGCACGUCCACUGGUGUGGCCUUGAGAUUCUCCUGCCCCCCUUUCCCUGGCAGCCCCUCCCCAAGGCCUUGCUCAUACCUGAGGCGGGAAGGAGGAAGGGACCAAGGCCUUGCUCAUACCUGAGGCGGGAAGGAGGAAGGGGAUCCCACAGGAAUAAGGGCUCCAGAGAGGAAGGACGUCAUGCACCCCCAAGCCGCCACCCCCCCCCAGCCUUCCACGCACAUCUGGCCGGAAGAGAACCCUCCGAAAGGGGGAGAGUGGCUGCCCCAGCCCCUCAGCUGCAUCCAUACCCCAUCCUCUCAUCUUGGGUCCCAGCCAGGCCCCCCCAAAACCAAAGUCCCCUCAAGCCUGGGGUCCCAGCCUGUGCCCCCAGCUUCCUGCCCACCCAGCCCUGAGCACCCUCACACAGGGAAAGAAGCAAAGGCUCUGGGGGGGCCAGGAUGGGACAGGUGAUACAGUGGGGGGUCGGGGGGCAGCAGGGAGGAGGGACGCAGAGGACAUUUUCCUCUUUGGGUAUUUUUUUUUUCUUUUUUUUUCUCCCCCCUUGCUGUUUGAGUGCUGUCGCUUUUCCUUUCCUCUUCCCUUUGAGAAGUUCGUUCGUUUCCGUUUUGUAUUUUACUGAUAUUACCAGGAUAGUUUACUCCUAGCGCCCUGCUUACCGCGCACCGGAUAACACACACGCACACACCCACAGAAAUGCUCGUGAACCCAACCCAGAGAAGGUUCCGGCUGGGGCCGCGCCCUCCCCCUCCUCCUGCUCCUCCCGACAGACAGCGAGGACAGGAGGGGGACAAGGGGACACGCGGGCAGACCUGCCGGCCCUCCCCCCGCCCCGCCCCUCACAUGCUCCCAUCAUAACCUUGUAUAUUACGCAGUCAUUUCGGUUUUCGCAGGAGCGCCUACUAAGUACCAUUUACAGAAAGUGACUCUGGCUGUUCAUUACUUUGUUUGUUUGUUCCCUAUGCAAAAAAAAAAAAAAAGAAAAAAACAGAAAAAAGGGGGAUUCCAUAAAAGAUUCAAUAAAAGAUUUAAAAAAAAAUGUAUAAAAAUUAAAACAAGCUAUGCUUCGACUCUU